rnacentral:snRNA from 1 species
GUGCUCACUUCAGCAGCACAUAUACUAAAAUUGGAAUGAUAUAGAGAUUAGCAUGGCCCCUGCAUAAGGAUGACAUGCAAAUCAGUGACGCAUUCCAUAUUAAA